GCGCCCGUAGCUCAGUUGGAUAGAGCGCCGGCCUUCGAAGCCGUAGGUCACAGGUUCGAGCCCUGUCGGGCGCGCCA
rnacentral:tRNA from 1 species